rnacentral:rRNA from 1 species
GAUGAACGCUAGCGACAGGCCUAACACAUGCAAGUCGAGGGGCAUCGGGACGUAGCAAUACGUUGCCGGCGACCGGCGGAUGGGUGAGUAACGCGUAUGCAACCUACCCGUAGCAGGGGGAUAGCCCGUUGAAAGACGGAUUAAUACCCCGUAACACAGGGGCUCCGCAUGGAGAUUAUUGUUAAAGGGUCAUUUCUUUUUCAGGGAUGGUCCGGCUGCGGAUGGGCAUGCGUUCCAUUAGGUAGUUGGUGUAGGUAACUGCUCACCAAGCCGACGAUGGAUAGGGGAACUGAGAGGUUGGUCCCCCACACUGGUACUGAGACACGGACCAGACUCCUACGGGAGCAGCAGUGAGGAAUUUUGGUCAAUGGACGCAAGUCUGAACCAGCCAUGUCGCGUGAAGGAGGACGGCCCUAAGGGUUGUAAACUUCUUUUGCAGUGGAAUAAAGUUUGCCACGUGUUGGCGAUUUGCAAGUACGCUGCGAAUAAGGAUCGGCUAACUCCGUGCC